rnacentral:lncRNA from 1 species
AUGUAAUUAUGCCAGAUUCCAAUGUAACGAAUGGGUUUAAUUAUAAGAACAGGAUACAUCAUAAUUGAUUAAUAUAAUUAAUAGUGUUUUAUUUAUGUCCUGUGUGGUAAGACCAGGAUGGGAAGGGGAUACAUGAGGCACUGUUUGAAAGGCAAGUCGAGAGAUGAAGGAAAUACCAUGCAAUACAGACAGCGCAUCUGAUGCCACUAGGCUUCUGUAAUAGGCACUACUGCAGGCAUGGUAGUGGUGAUUAUCCACUAUCAUGUCUUGAAGCAGACAUUAUACGUUAGAAUACAGUGUUACAGAAGUUUCUGCUUUUUCUGGUGGCAAAUGUUUUUUCUAGCUUGUUGAGAAAAGGAAAACUUAAUUCACAUUCACCGCAGACAGCUUCUUCCUCUGCUUUUGACAUUUAACCCUAUGCUCAGGGGCCCAGAGCCUGCUAAAUCCACGCUCCCGGCUCUUAGCCCUAACAUCUCGUAUCAAAAUUCCUGACUUCCAGCAACCAGGGAUUAAAGCGAAACAAAAGUUGGAGCGGAGGACUUUCUCCCCACCUCUCCCCUUCCAUUACAUUCAAGCCGCACUUCCUGCACCCGCUAUAAAUAUUUCAAGCAGCAGCAGCCAGCGCUCGCAGAUUGGGGCGGAAGCAGAAACCUAACCGUGUCUGCGCCCUCCUCUGCAGCCGCACGAGCAGCCAGAGGUCGUGUGCAUUGCUAAUGAGGCCGUCUGCCCGCUGGAAACUGCAGCGAGGGUUUUCAUUGCUAAGCCUUGGUUUGCAGCCUUGGAGGAGUUGGAGGCAGCUUUGUAAUGCCGUGGAUCUGGGCGAUCAUGGUUAUCUACUUUCUGCAAAGUUAUUUUGGGCACAAGGAUUUUGCUGAGGAAUUUGAGAAGUCCGUGACCUCUCCUGUAAUUUCUUGACAGCCACUUUAGAGGUAACAGGACUUUUAAUUACAUGUACAUCAUGGCACUGGUUUAGAAUAAUCUAACACCCUGUCUUCCGUGCAGACUGAAGAAGUACUCCCACAGAAAAGCAUGACAGCCCUGUUAAAGCAUUACCUAUUUUAGUCUCUACUUGAUAUUUUAGGAUUCGUUCAUUUCAGCGUCUGUUACUGAAAAGUAGAAAUCCUGCAGUGAUACUUUUUUCCUAUUGCUGAUGGACGAUCGGGCAGGGAGAAGAGCACGCAGUGGAGAUGAGCGUCUGUAUUGCAAACGAAUUGUUUGAGAGGUAGUGGGGAGAAAACUACUGGUUUUAGAUUUUUUUUUUCCUUUCCUUUUCCACUUAGAGCUGAAAUAAUUUUGUUUGAGUUCUGGCUCCGUGGUAUGUGAGGCAUAGGAUGGGACUUUUUAUGCCAAGAGAACGAUAACAGUCUGGACCAGCUCUCAGGUCUACAGAUUCCUAAUCCAGACCCUUGUAAGAAAAACAUUUGGUAUCAUACUUUUCAUCCACACCACACACUUAAUAGGUGGUUUGUUCCUACUUAGGAGAGGGUCUAAGGUUUCCCCUGAGCCUUGGAAGGGCUCACGCUUGGACAGUGGGUGAUGUCAGGGUCUUACAGAGUGAGCAACGGGAAGCCUUGCUCCUGGAAGACUGUAUUGACUUGUACGAAGAACAAGCUCGUUCCUGUGAUUUUAUUCUGGAUAAAGAGGCGUCUGUAGUAACUCCGUGCAGCCUGAGAGAGGCUCCUUAGGACUUUUGAAGAUGACAUUUGAUUUGCAGCCAGAAUAACAGAGUUCCACCUAGACAACACAAGGCUUUUCUGCAUAAGCUCUCUUUAGGAAAAGAUUGUAUCAUAAAUGAUUUGAAGCAUUUCCUUAGGCAUUUAGUAUCAUCUUUAAGAACCAGAUUUAUCCACCCG